GACGAACGCUGGCGGCGUGCCUAACACAUGCAAGUCGAACGGAGUGAAGCCCCUCGGGACUUCGCUUAGUGGCGAACGGGUGGGUAACGCGUGAGGAACCUGCCUUUCAGUGGGGGACAACAGUUGGAAACGACUGCUAAUACCGCAUAAUGCUUUCGAGCGGCAUCGCUUGAAAGCCAAAGAUUUAUCGCUGAAAGAUGGUCUCGCGUCUGAUUAGCUAGUUGGUGAGGUAACGGCUCCCCAAGGGGACGAUCAUUAGCCGGUCUGAGAGGAGGAACGGCCACAUUGGGACGGAGAUACGGCCCAGACUCCUACGGGAGGAAACAGUGGGAAAUAUUGGGCAAUGGGGGAAACCCUGACCCAGCAACGCCGCGUGAAGGAAGAAGGCUUUCGGGUUGUAAACUUCUUUUACCAGGGGCGAAGAAAGUGACGGUACCUGGAGAAAAGGCAACGGCUAACUGCGUGCCAGCCGCCGCCGUAA
rnacentral:rRNA from 1 species